GACGAACGCUGGCGGCGUGCUUAACACAUGCAAGUCGAACGGAAAGGCCCUGCUUUUGUGGGGUUCUCGAGUGGCGAACGGGUGAGUAACACGUGAGUAACCUGCCCUUGACUUUGGGAUAACUUCAGGAAACUGGGGCUCAUACCGGAUAUGAUCUCCUGCUGCAUGUUGUUGGUUGGAAAGUUUCGGCGGUUGUGUCUGGACUCGCUGCUUAUCAGCUUGUUGGUGUGGUAGUUGCUUACCAAGGCUUUGACGGGUAGCCGGCCUGAGAGGGUUACCGGCGACAUGGGGACUGAGAGACGGAGCAGAAGGGUACGGGAGGCAGCAGUGGGGAACACUGCAGAAUGGGCGGAAGCGUGAUGCAGAAACGCCGCGUGCGGGAUACAGGGUUUCGGGUUGUAAACAGAUUUCGAAUGUGACGAAGAGAGAGUGACGGUAAUGGGUAAAGAAGCACCGGCUAACUACGUG
rnacentral:rRNA from 1 species